GAGUAUCAAUUGGAGGGCAAGUCUGGUGCCAGCAGCCGCGGUAAUUCCAGCUCCAAUAGCGUAUAUUAAACUUGUUGCAGUUAAAAAGCUCGUAGUUGAAUUUCUGCUGCAUCGUGGUUCUUCGCUAUGUCGAGUGAUCUUCGUUGUGGCUUAGUUGGGGCAUGUUUUCAUGACUCGACGUUUACUUUGAGAAAAUUAGAGUGCUUCAAGCAGGCUUUUGCCUUGAAUACUUUAGCAUGGAAUAAUGGAGUAGGACUUUGGUUCUAUUUUGUUGGUUUUAGGAGCCGGAGUAAUGGUUAAUAGGAACAGUUGGGGGCAUUCGUAUUUGACUGUCAGAGGUGAAAUUCUU
rnacentral:rRNA from 1 species